rnacentral:lncRNA from 1 species
UACUGAAUACAAUAAUGAUUUUGACAUUUUAACUACUGAAAUCAAACCAGCACAUUACUCUGGUGCUUGAACAUUAUUUCUUUAAGAAAUAGAUAGUAUGCUAUCCGUUUCGUUUAUUUCAUUUAGAAAUAAACUUAGCUGAAAAUGUGAAUCAACUAGAAUUCGAAUUCGGGACUUCGCAUACCAAUUACCAACCUUUUUACCACCUGCGCUAGGGACGGUCGGUGUUUAAACAUUAGAAUUGACAUAUUGUGGAUCAU